UACACUCCGCGGGAGGCAGCAGUGGGGAAUUUUGGACAAUGGGCGAAAGCCUGAUACAGCAAUGCCGCGUGAGUGAAGAAGGCCUUCGGGUUGUAAAGCUCUUUUGUCAGGGAAGAAACGGUGAGAGCUAAUAUCUCUUGCUAAUGACGGUACCUGGAGAAUAAGCACCGGCUAACUACGUGCCAGCAGCCGCGGUAAUACGUAGGGUGCAAGCGUUAAUCGGAAUUACUGGGCGUAAAGCGUGCGCAGGCGGUUUUGUAAGUCUGAUGUGAAAUCCCCGGGCUCAACCUGGGAAUUGCAUUGGAGACUGCAAGGCUAGAAUCUGGCAGAGGGGGGUAGAAUUCCACGUGUAGCAGUGAGAUGCGUAGAUAUGUGGAGGAACACCGAUGGCGAAGGCAGCCCCCUGGGUCAAGAUUGACGCUCAUGCACGAAAGCGUGGGGAGCAAACAGGAGUAGAAACCCCUGUAGUCCCAUG
rnacentral:rRNA from 1 species